GACGUAGGGCGCGAGCGUUGUCCGGAUUUAUUGGGCGUAAAGAGCUCGUAGGCGGCUUGUUGCGUCGGCUGUGAAAACCCGCGGCUUAACCGCGGGCCUGCAGUUGAUACGGGCAGGCUAGAGUUCGGUAGGGGAGACUGGAAUUCCUGGUGUAGCGGUGAAAUGCGCAGAUAUCAGGAGGAACACCUAUUGCGAAGGCAGCUCGCAGGGACGUAACUGACGCUGAGACGCGAAAGCGUGGGGAGCAAACAGG
rnacentral:rRNA from 1 species